rnacentral:rRNA from 1 species
CCUACGGGAGGCAGCAGUGGGGAAUUUUCCGCAAUGGACGAAAGUCUGACGGAGCGACGCUGCGUGAAGGAUGACGGCCUGCGGGUUGUAAACUUCUUUUCUCGAAGAAGAAGCUCUGACGGUAUUCGAGGAAUAAGCAUCGGCUAACUCCGUGCCAGCAGCCGCGGUAAUACGGAGGAUGCAAGUGUUAUUCGGAAUGAUUGGGCGUAAAGCGUCUGUAGGCUGUAUAGAAAGUCUUUUGUUAAAUGCCUCGGCUCAACCGAGAUCCAGCAAAGGAAACUUCUAUACUUGAGGGAAGUAGAGGUACAGGGAAUUCCCGGUGGAGCGGUGAAAUGCGUAGAUAUCGGGAGGAACACCAAUAUGGCGAAGGCACUGUACUGGGCUUUACCUGACGCUCAGAGACGAAAGCUAAAGGAGUGAUUAGGAUUAGAUACCCUAGUAAUUUUAGCCGUAAACGAUGGAAACUCACUGCCGAGCGAAAUACAACGAGCGGUGGUCAAGCUAACGCGUGAAGUUUCCCGCCUGGGGAUUACGCUUGCAAAAGUGAAACUCAAAGGAAUUGACGG